UCGCAAUGCCCGAAAGGGUGACGAAGCGACGCCGCGUGGGUGAGGAAGGCCUUCGGGUUGUAAAGCCCUGUCAGGAGUUAAGAAAUGUAGACUCGCUAAUAUCGGGUCUAUUUGACAAAGGCUCCAAAGGAAGCCACGGCUAACUCUGUGCCAGCAGCCGCGGUAAUACAGAGGUGGCAAGCGUUGUUCGGAAUUAUUGGGCGUAAAGAGCACGUAGGUGGAUUUGUAAGUCAGACGUGAAAGCCUUCUGUUCAACGGAAGAAUUGCAUCUGAAACUACAAACCUUGAGUGUAGGAGGGGAGAAUGGAACUUCUGGUGGAGCGGUGAAAUGCGUAGAUAUCAGAAGGAACGCCGGCGGCGAAAGCGAUUCUCUGGCCUAUUACUGACACUCAGUGUGCGAAAGCUAGGGGAGCAAACGGGAUUAGAUACCCCGGUAGUCCUAGCCGUAAACGAUGGGCACUAAGUAGAGGGGU
rnacentral:rRNA from 1 species